rnacentral:lncRNA from 1 species
CUGGUUAUCCUGCCAAAUCUGGCGCUUCACCUCCACUGCACAUGCUUUAUACAAAUCCUUAUCAGCCAUUACUAACUUCAGCUUCUUCUCAGGCACCUUGGGCAAGUGCUUCAUGACACACAUUACCACAGGCUGUAUGGAAGGCAUCUUGACCAAGGAAAAGCUUUUCUCCAGGAGAUCUUCCAGCUUCUUGUACCUUUCCUCCACCUUCCCUUCCAAGGCGAUGGCCGAGACCCGCUCCAGCAGCUUCUCCCUCAGCUCGUCAAACACCGACUGGUGGAACUCCAGCCGGGGAGUGCCGUGCAGGUCCAGGAAGGGCAGGGCCGACUGCAGCGAGGGCAGCAGGACCCCAUUUUCUGUCUGGAACUGCUCGAUGGCCUUCAGCGGCUCCGUGCAGUUGGUCAGCGUCUCCUUGAGAUCCUCGCCGUUGGCCACCCCCAGCUCCUGCAGCCCCGCGUACAUGGCAGCCGGCCGCCCCGCCGGGCCCGCUCCCGCCGCGGUCCGCCCGCUCCCGGUCCCCCA